ACGAGACACAUCUUGAAGCUCCACAUGUUCCUCGCCGUUACAUCAAUCAACACUUAGUGCAACAAAUGGAGCAUUAGUGAGAGUAAUGUUUUCACAGAGGUCCCACUGUAGCUGCAGUCACCCUCAGUGGCGCCUCCCGGCCCGGCCCGGCCCGGCCCGGCGUUCUGAGUCACGGCGAUGAGAUCGGAAAUUUGAGGAGGUAUUGGAAAGCGUGAGUCAGUGAAAGGUGAGAAACAAGGAGCCGCUGCUCUGAGAGAGAUGUGGCUAAUUACCACCUGUCUGCUCGGCGCUACUACUGAAGAGGCUGACCUCGUGAAACACGCUCAAGACAGUGGGAGACAUUAGCGAUGAAGAAGGAGGAGAAGAAGAAGGAAACAGUUGGAGUGCAGGUCAAAGACUCGUGGCUGUUAAAUGACGUCAGGUACAGCUGACGUCCGUGUGGAGCUGCAGACGAGGCCGUUUCCACUUCCAGAGCCCAGCUCCUCUCACAUCUCCUCCCACACACUCUCCUGCUGGUUGGAUGGGGGAAUCGAGGAGGGUUGACCUAGGUCAGCGUCUCCUCUGUCUCCUCAAGACUAAAUGAUGGUCCCAUCGACAUUGGGGAGCUAAUUAGCAGUUAGCAGCUGAACUUUUCAGCCUUGGUGCGCACGGCGCUGAGGAUGCUGGCUGCCUCUCUGAUCUCUGAGCCUCUCGUUCAAGAUGGAAACCUCUCAUACACAACAAAGAGACAGGGGAUCUAUAACACCACCCCUUGCACUGCUGCUCGGCUCUGACACAAAGCCAAGGAGCACAUUGUUUUGGCUCUGCAGGAUAAUUGGAUUGCUAAUUGUUUGUGAGUCGUGAGUUCUUGAGUUUAACAUUUAGAGAGUUUCAAUGAAAGACAAAGAGGGAGCAGGAGAGUGGACGAGAGGGAGCGAAUUGAACUUCUGAAAGAUUUCUUUAAACCAAUAUGUGUCUGCUGAAUACUGACACAGAUACCGACCCUAUCCUCUGCCUUAAAAGAUCAAUCAUCCAUGAUACAAUGACUUUGACAAUCUAUUGCAUCAUGCACCAAAUCCCAUUCAUAUUUAGCAUAAUUUAAUUCUACCUCACUCUCUGUUUCCUCUCCCCUCAUUUUCAGGCAUAUGGCACGGUUAUUAAUGUCUUGGUUCGGCCAUAUAUAAGUGAGGCUACAUCAUUUGUGCAUGUGACUGGUGCGAGUUUUUAUAUUUAAUCCAAUAUUCACAAAAAGUGAGUAAUACAACUGUUUUUUUCUUUGGCUGAAUACAAGUUUUUAAAGCUCCAUAUUUUCUUCUUCUUCUGUAUUUAAUUUGAAGUGUUGAUUCAUAAGUUUUACAUCUCCUCUCUCAGGCUUCUCUCUGCAGCUCUAGUAACAACAGGUCGGUGAGCCAAUCAGAAGAGAGGAGGCUCUGAGUCUAUCUUCUGAUUGGCUGACUGUUUUCUGAGUGAUCAAUGAAAAUAUAUCAGAUUUCAGGUAAAAACACUCAGAGAAACCAAAUCCUGCAAGGUUUGGAUGGUGGGUCCAGGUGGGCGGGGCUUGGUGACUGCUUUGUUGUGACAUCACAAAGUUCCAGAAGUCCUGACGGCUGGUUUUAAGGCUCAGUUUCUGAAUACAGGCUGUGUGCAUUUCUCUGUGGACUGAGGCUUUGAUACUUUCACAGUAUUAAUAUAGAAGCUAGAGCUGAUCUAUAAUCACACUACACAUGGACACAGACCUUUAGACUAGAGGAGCUUUAAGACAUGCCUCAGUCUUCUGUUUUAUUAGUUUUAUUAGUGUAAUCAAUACCACAGAGUCUUGCUCACAGAAUCUUCUCCAUGGCACAAAACAAUCUGAUCAGUCCCAGGAUGACGAGCCCGAACAUACAGUCACAAAGAAAGAUCUUCAGACUCCUGCAACAGAUGGUCUGGACCCUAAGGAUCCCUGAACUCAGCAUCAUGGAGUCAGUCUGGGAUUAUAUGAAGAGAGACUGAAUCCACAGAAGAACUGUGCUGGAUCAACAUACCUGCCAAGUACCUGAAAAACUAAGCCCAGGUGAACGGAGGAGAAUUUAAAGGCAAAAAGUUUUUUCAUAAAUAAAUAAAAUUCAUAAAUAAAAACUAUUCAUGGCCAUGUUUCAGGAGUCAGACUUUCUAUGAAUGUACUUUGUCUCUCCUACAGGUUUGUUAAUGUCACAGUAGGAAAAACACAGGUGUAAAUAAUAAUAAAUAGUAACUGAAUGUCUGAAUUCCAUUUAGAUGCCUCAGUGGACAUUCCUGUUGUUAGCGUUAUUGCUAACACCUGUGCUUUUCCCAUCAUGCCAAGUCAAAAUGUCUGCUGUGAAAAAAGGGCCCAUUAUUUUUUUUCUCCAUUUUCUUACUUUCCUCUGGAAUGAGUAUGAUUUGGGAUUCUGCCACCAGGCCUCCCAUCAUACCCUGGCUCAUGUAAAGGUGUUAUGUUGCCAUGGAGUCAGCCACUUAGCUACAGGCUACACCUGCAGACAACAAUCAUUUGGAUUAUUUUACUGAAGCAAUUCAAUUUGAUCUUCUGGAGGCAAGAUUUUCUUCUCAGUGUGUGUGUGUGUCACGUUUGACUGAUUUAUGAUUCCGUGUCAGAUGCAGGUUGCAA